rnacentral:rRNA from 1 species
UACGUAGGGUGCGAGCGUUAAUCGGAAUUACUGGGCGUAAAGCGUGCGCAGGCGGUUUUGUAAGCCAGAUGUGAAAUCCCCCGGGCUUAACCUGGGAAUGGCAUUUGGGACUGCAAGGCUCGGAGUGCGGCAGAGGAGACGUGGAAUUCCUGGUGUAGCAGUGAAAUGCGUAGAGUAAUCAGGAGGAACACCGAUGGCGAAGGCAGGUCUCUGGGCUGGACACUGA